GAGGCGCGAACAUACAGUCUAUGGGCUCGAAGCGAGAGAGAGACAGUCGGGAGCCAAGGAGGAAGGCACGAGGAAAGAGGUAAAAGCCAUUUUUUUAUAUCUAUCAAAUAACGAAAUGAUAAGGAAAGCACAAUGUGACUACACUCCGGACUCAAUUCUCUGCUACUCAACCGAAUAAUGGGACUGGGCAUGUGUGAGUGUAAGCUAUGCUACAGGCUGUAAAGACGAUCACAGGAAGAAAAAUCAGAGUCCAAAGUGGCCGUGUUUCUGCUAAAAACCCACAAAAUCGAACCGAAAUUAGCCCCAUAUGUCUUGCUAGCAUAUAAACACAGACAGUGAUCCACACAUUAUAGCUUAUAAACACACUGAAUAUUGUUUCAGUUUCUGUAAAGGGAAACUUUGCAAAUUUACUUUGAAUCUUACAGAAAUGAAGAGAAAAGGGACCCUACACAAUUUUUUCAAGAGGGCCAGAGUACAAAAUGAAGUAGGACAUGAGGUGGAAGGAGAGAGAGAAGACGUUGAAGGAGAGAGAGACAAGCAUGAGGUGGAAGGCGAGAGAGAGGAUGAAGAAAAGGUGGAAGGAGAGAGAGACAAGCAUGAGGUGGAAGUAGAGGGUGAAGAUAAAGACGAGCUGGCGGAACAGAGGGACGAGCAAAGAAAAUCUGACCACAGAACAUGUGGAGGAAGGAGAGCACCACCAAAUAGGAAAGGACAGUGCCUGAGCCAUCACCAGUGACCUCCAGUAGAGCUGCUGGUCCACAUGGUAUGGAAAUUGUUUCUGCAUAAUUGACCAAGUUACAUAUUAAAAAGGACAAUUACCGAAAUUGACAUUUUGCUGUCAUUCAAUUUAACAGCUAUUGUUUAGACUUCUUCAAAUAAAUAUUCAUCUUUGCUUAAAUGUAAGUACUUGGGAAAACUUUUAAAUGUUUAAGUAUAGUCACAUGGUAACAGAAUAUUAAUAUUUUGUGUACAAUGUAUUUUAGAUCUAUUGCUCAGUUUAAAUUCCGAAAAUCGAACAAUCCAAAAAUAUUCUCCCUGGCUAAAAUGUUCUAUGUAUGUGUGUUUACACAGUAUGAUGAAUAUAAUGAAUUGUUUUAAGUUGUUAUAUUGUUAAAUUAGUGCAGAUUCCGUAUAGUUGUGAACCUUCUCCUCUCCAUCUUCUAGAUUUAUCAAAGUCCCGAUGGGAACCACCGACACAGCCAAAAAGGGAAAGUUUUCCAAGGACUCUCCAGGGAGGAGCCAGGAGAAGCUUCCGCAGUGACUGGUACAAAUGCCAUCCCUGGCUAGAAUAUUCGUAGUCAAUACUCAGCCUUUAGUCAAAACGCACAAAAGCAUUAGAUCUAGAUUAAUUUGGGAAGUGUUUUGCCGGACAGCAUGGAAAUCACUAAAUUCAGCAGUUAUAGUCAUCAAAUUUACGUUGUGCUCACUGGUGUGCCUUUACAAAGCUUUUUAAAUGAUGACCUACAUUGUAUUUAUAUAUUUGUUUUGGAAACUGGGAAAAUGAUAGUAGGCUACCUUGCAUAUGAGAAAGAGAGGU